AGAGUUUGAUCCUGGCUCAGGAUGAACGCUGGCGGAGUGCCUAACACAUGCAAGUCGAGCGGCAGCACGAGUAGUUUACUACUUGGUGGCGAGCGGCGGACGGCUGAGUAACGCGUGGGAACGUGCCCCAAAGUGAGGAAUAACUGCCCGAAAGGGUAGCUAAUGCCGCAUAUGAUCUUCGGAUUAAAGUAUUUAUUACGCUUUGGGAGCGGCCCGCGUCCGAUUAGGUAGUUGGUGAGGUAAAGGCUCACCAAGCCCACGAUCGGUAGCUGGUCUGAGAGGAUGACCAGCCAGACUGGAACUGAGACACGGUCCAGACUCCUACGGGAGGCAGCAGUGAGGAAUCUUCCACAAUGGACGAAAGUCUGAUGGAGCAACUCCGCGUGCAGGAUGAAGGCCUUCGGGUCGUAAACUGCUUUUAUGAGUGAAGAAUAUGACGGUAACUCAUGAAUAAGGGUCGGCUAACUACGUGCCAGCAGCCGCGGUCAUACGUAGGACCCAAGCGUUAUCCGGAGUGACUGGGCGUAAAGAGUUGCGUAGGUGGUUAGUAAAGUGAAUAGUGAAAUCUGGCGGCUCAACCGUACAGGCUAUUAUUCAAACUCACUAACUCGAGAAUGGUAGAGGUAACUGGAAUUUCUAGUGUAGGAGUGAAAUCCGUAGAUAUUAGAAGGAACACCAAUGGCGUAGGCAGGUUACUGGACCAUUUCUGACACUGAGGCACGAAAGCGUGGGGAGCGAACCGGAUUAGAUACCCGGGUAGUCCACGCCGUAAACGAUGGAUACUAGCUGUUGGAGGUAUCGACCCCUUCAGUAGCGAAGCUAACGCGUUAAGUAUCCCGCCUGUGGAGUACGGUCGCAAGACUAAAACAUAAAGGAAUUGACGGGGACCCGCACAAGCGGUGGAUCGUGUUCUUUAAUUCGAUGAUAAACGAAGAACCUUACCAGGGUUUGACAUCCUUGGAAUUUCUGUGAAAGCAGAGAGUGCUUUAUUGAGCCAAGUGACAGGUGAUGCAUGGCCGUCGUCAGCUCGUGUCGUGAGAUGUUUGGUUAAGUCCAUCAACGAGCGCAACCCUUGUGAUUAGUUGUAUUUUUCUAAUCAGACUGCCCCGGUAACGGGGAGGAAGGAGGGGAUGAUGUCAGGUCAGUAUUUCCCUUACACCCUGGGCUAGAAACACGAUACAAUGGUUAGUACAAUGCGCAGCGAAGCCGCGAGGUGGAGCAAAUCGCAUCAAAGCUAAUCUCAGUUCGGAUAAGAGGCUGAAACUCGCCUCUUUGAAGUCGGAAUCGCUAGUAAUCGCAGAUCAGCAAGCUGCGGUGAAUACGUUCC
rnacentral:rRNA from 1 species